rnacentral:tRNA from 1 species
UCCUGCAUAGCUCACUCGGUAGGGCAUCAGACUUUUAUAGGUUGACCUUAGAGGUAAUCUGAGGGUCGCGGAUUCGAGUUACUCUGCGGGUG